rnacentral:rRNA from 1 species
CCACGGGGGGCUCCAGUGGGGAAUAUUGCACAAUGGGCGCAAGCCUGAUGCAGCCAUGCCGCGUGUAUGAAGAAGGCCUUCGGGUUGUAAAGUACUUUCAGCGGGGAGGAAGGGAGUAAAGUUAAUACCUUUGCUCAUUGACGUUACCCGCAGAAGAAGCACCGGCUAACUCCGUGCCAGCAGCCGCGGUAAUACGGAGGGUGGCAAGCGUUAAUCGGAAUUACUGGGCGUAAAGCGCACGCAGGCGGUUUGUUAAGUCAGAUGUGAAAUCCCCGGGCUCAACCUGGGAACUGCAUCUGAUACUGGCAAGCUUGAGUCUCGUAGAGGGGGGUAGAAUUCCAGGUGUAGCGGUGAAAUGCGUAGAGAUCUGGAGGAAUACCGGUGGCGAAGGCGGCCCCCUGGACGAAGACUGACGCUCAGGUGCGAAAGCGUGGGGAGCAAACAGGAUUAGAUACCCGAGUAGUC